rnacentral:tRNA from 1 species
GGAAUUUAUAGGUUUAACAAAAGUCUGCUAAGCUUAUUGUUUUGCGGUUCAAUUCCGUUAAAAUUUCG